AAAACGGCUCUUUUCAGAGCCACCCACGUUGUCUAAAGAAGAGCCU
rfam:Tauraco erythrolophus contig113211, whole genome shotgun sequence.